GACGAACGCUGGCGGCGUGCUUAACACAUGCAAGUCGAACGAAAAGAGGGAAAGAGCUUGCUCUUUCCGGAAUUGAGUGGCAAACGGGUGAGUAACACGUAAACAACCUGCCUUCAGGAUGGGGACAACAGACGGAAACGACUGCUAAUACCGAAUAAGUUCCAAGGGCCGCAUGGCCCAUGGAAGAAAAGGUGGCCUCUACCUGUAAGCUAUCGCCUGAAGAGGGGUUUGCGUCUGAUUAGCUGGUUGGAGGGGUAACGGCCCACCAAGGCGACGAUCAGUAGCCGGUCUGAGAGGAUGAACGGCCACACUGGAACUGAGACACGGUCCAGACUCCUACGGGAGGCAGCAGUGGGGAAUCUUCCGCAAUGGGCGAAAGCCUGACGGAGCAACGCCGCGUGAGUGAUGACGGCCUUCGGGUUGUAAAACUCUGUGAUCCGGGACGAAAAGGCAGAGUGCGAAGAACAAACUGAAUUGACGGUACCGGAAAAGCAAGCCACGGCUAACUACGUG
rnacentral:rRNA from 1 species